rnacentral:rRNA from 1 species
AACGAACGCUGGCGGCAUGCCUAACACAUGCAAGUCGAACGAGACCUUCGGGUCUAGUGGCGCACGGGUGCGUAACGCGUGGGAACCUGCCCUUAGGUUCGGAAUAACUCCCCGAAAGGGGUGCUAAUACCGGAUAAUGUCUUCGGACCAAAGAUUUAUCGCCUUUGGAUGGGCCCGCGUUGGAUUAGCUAGUUGGUAUGGUAAAAGCCUACCAAGGCGACGAUCCAUAGCUGGUCUGAGAGGAUGAUCAGCCACACUGGGACUGAGACACGGCCCAGACUCCUACGGGAGGAAGCAGUGGGGAAUAUUGGACAAUGGGCGAAAGAAGGAGCCAGCAAGGCCGCGUGAGUGAUGAAGGACUUAGGGUUGUAAAGCUCUUUUAAACGGGAUGAUAAUGACAGUACCGGGAGAAUAAGCUCCGGCUAACUCCGUG